rnacentral:rRNA from 1 species
GACGAACGCUGGCGGCGUGCUUAACACAUGCAAGUCGAACGGGCCUGUCUUCUUUUUUGGGGGUGGGUUGAGUGGCGAACGGGUGAGUAUCACGUGAGUAACCUGCCCUUCGGUCCUGGAUAACCGCUUGAAAGGGCGGCUAAUACGGGGUGGUCCGGUUGGUCCGCAUGGGCUGGUCGGGAUAGAUUCACUGUUUUUGGUGUUUCGGCGGGGGAUGGGCUCGCGGCCUAUCAGCUUGUUGGUGGGGUGAUGGCCUACCAAGGCGGUGACGGGUAGCCGGCCUGGGAGGGUGGGCGGCCCAGCUGGGACUGAGAUACGGCCCAGACUCCUGCGGGAGGCAGCAGGGGGGGGUAUUGCACAAUGGGCGGAAGCCUGAUGCAGCGACGUCGCGUGAGGGAUGGAGGCCUUCGGGUUGUGAACCUCUGUUUCCGGUGGUGAAGGCCCUGUCCGUGUGGUGGGGUUGACGGUAGCCGGGGAUGAAGCGCCGGCUAACUACGUG